AAUAAACAACCCCUGAUUCAAUCUCAGUGGGUGGCGCUUUCCUUACAACUUACUUGGUUACAACAUUUGGAGGCCCCAGCGAGAUUUGCCACCAGGUGCAGACCAGACUCACUUGGGGCUCCCCUGGUUAAGAGGCAGGCUAUAGGAGAAGCGCCCCCUGAGACACUCCAGGACCCCAUAGGCCACCAAUUUCUAGAGGUGAGCAGAUCGACUCCUGGUGUGCCCAACCAAAUUAUUCCUCCAAGUCCUCAGUCCUGCUCUACAGAGAAGGAUCCUACUCCCCCUAAAGAGAUUUUCGAGGUGUUCACCCUGGAGCAGGUGCCGCUGAUCUUAUGGAUUUGAACACACCACAGGCCAAGUCGGAUGUGGAAAAUCAGGGGCUGCUGAAGAGAGACAACUUUUACCUAUGUCCAGGAGAUCACCCCAAUACUAGCUGUAAGCAAGUUUAUGCAUGGUUCUGCCCUUAUUGGACUUGUGUAACCUUGGCCACUUACUCUGGAGGACUAACCCUGUCCUCAACUCUUUCCAUAUCUUGCACUUCCUGCCUUGGAACAUGUAAUAAGGGAACUUGCAAUCCUCUUGCCAUAAGUGUCUAUAACCCUAGUUUUGCUCAUUGGUACUACCAUAUGACAUGGGGAUUUAGACUUUAUGUCACAGGGUUUGAUCCUGGGACUGCAAUCACAAUCCAAAAGAGAGUUCUGGUCCCAUGGAGCCCUCCUAAACAAAUCAGACCUUUAACUCCUUUAGGCAAUCCCAUAUUCUGCCCAUACCCAGAUAAGGUCAGCUCAACUGUCCCAUCGCCAAUCCCAGCUCCUCCAUCUUGGUUUCAGCAUGAAUACCUCCAACCCAGCCUAAUGUCCAUUCUGAAUGGAGUACAUCACCUUAAUGAUACUCAGCCUAAACUGGCUCGAGAUUGUUGGCUGUGCCUAAAGGCCAAACCCCCAUACUAUAUUGGACUGGGAGUUGAAGCCCCUCUCAACAUUAGUCCUCUUUCUUGCCAAACGCACCCCCGUUCCCUUACACUAGGGGAUGUUGCAGGAAAUGCCACCUGCUUAAUUAGCAAUGGGUAUAAUCUAUCUGCCUCUCCUUUUCAGGCUACCUGAAACUGGUCCCUACGUACAAUACUUGGUUGGCCUGCACCUCAGGCCUCACCGCUGCAUUAAUGGAACUGAACCAGGACCUGUCCUGUACAUAUUGGUUCAUGUCCUUCCUCAGGUCUAUGUGUACAGGGCACCAAAAGGAUGACAUGUCAUCGCUCCCCUGAGCUCACUCCAGUUUCCGCUGAGCUGUUCCUCUCCUUGUGCCCCUCCUGGCUGGCCUUAGCAUAGAUGGGUCGGCUGCUAUCAGCACUGCUGCUCUGGUCCAAGGAGAAACUGGGCUGAUGUCCCUAUCUCAACAAGUAGAUGCUGACUUAGGAAAUCUUCAGUCAGCCAUAAAUAUGUUACAUACACAGGUAGAAUCCCUAGCUGAAGUUGCUCUCCAAAAACACUGCAGCCUAGAUCUAGUGUUCCUCUCCCAAGGGGGUUUAUGUGCUGCUUUGGGAGAAAGCUGUUGUUUUUAUGCUAACAAAUCCAGAUUCAUAAAAGACACUCUUCAAAGGGUUCGGGAAAAUUUAGAUAAACACCAACAGGAGCAGGUACAUAAUACCCCAUGGUAUCAAAACAUGUUUAACUGGAGUCCAUGGCUAACUACUUUAAUAACUGGGUUAGCGGGACCCCCUUCUUCUCCCGUUAGGCUUAGUCUUUGGACCCUGUAUACUAAAUUGGUUUCUAAAUUUCGUAAGACAGUGCAUAGCAUCUGUCAAACUUAUGUAUCUCAGAACACACUCUAACCCCCUUGUUAUAACUGAAGAGUCAACGAUUUGACUCCCCAAAAACAUAAGUGAGGAAUGUAAAUAGCCCAACUCAUGUUAGCCUAACUGACUCCAUCUUAGCUGUGAGCUAGACAGACUCCAUCUUAGCCUCUUCCUGCCGCCAUGUCUCCCUCAGGUGCAGAACUGGGCCAUACUGAUGCUGUGCUUAAUGACGUUGUGUUUAUUCUACCAUAAACCAUUGCAACCACAUCCUGCUUGGCAAGCACACCUGCUAUUGUGAAUACUCUUCCUUGGACCCCCCUUGGUGAUUGUAUGGAAAUACCCUGGCUUACAACCACUUCCCUCUAAUCUGCUCAUUCUGCUUCUGUAAAAUUCCACUUCCACUAGGCUCCCCCUCCCCUACCUUAAUCAAGGCAUAAAAAGGAAUCAAGCCCCUUCUUCAGGGCGAGAGAAUUUUGAGCAUUAGCCGUCUCUUGGUGGCUGGCAAUAAAGGACCCCUGAUUCUA